rnacentral:rRNA from 1 species
UACGUAGGGGGCUAGCGUUGUCCGGAUUUAUUGGGCGUAAAGAGCGUGUAGGCGGCCAGGUAGGUCUGGUGUGAAAACUCGAGGCUUAACCUCGAGAUGUCAUCGGAAACCAUCUGGCUAGAGUCCGGAAGAGGAGAGUGGAAUUCCUGGUGUAGCGGUGAAAUGCGCAGAUAUCAGGAAGAACACCAAUGGCGAAAGCAGCUCUCUGGGACGGUACUGACGCUGAGACGCGAGAGCGUGGGGGAGCGAACAGG